GCUAAUGACCCUUCAGUUGCCAACCGCCACUCAGGCCAAAAGCGCAGGAGAACAAAAAUGACCGGGAAAAUCUGACAGAAGUGAGAAGAUGAUAACAGCACAGCGGGGUUUUAGAAGUCAGAGAAUGGAUGGAUUAUCCAGUCACGGUACAUAAUGAAAGACUUGACUGAGUUAGAAGAAGCUGAGCGACUCUUCAGAGUGAAGAUGUUAUGAUGCAGUUAUGUCAAAGUACUCGUUUUGGCUGGCCAGAUUGGAAGAGACCUGAAUGGGAAGAUGGCAGAGCUAAGACUGACAAUGUCCAGGAAAAAUGUUAACUAAAAAUGAGUGUGUUUUUCCCCAGCGAGUGAGUUUGGGAAUGUUUUAAAUGUGCCUAGAAGUUUGAAAAUGUAAUACUGAGGGAAAAAAGUGAGCGCUUUGAAAAGGCUUUAAAAAGAAAAUAAAGUCUGAAAAU